UGUAAUCCUAGUACUCUAGGAGGCCAAGAAGGGUAGAUUGCUUGAGCUCAUGAGUUCAAGACCAGCCUGAGCAAAAAGUGAGACCCCAUCUCUACUAAAAAAUUAGAAAAACUAAGGCAAGAGGAUUGCUCAAGCCCAAGAGUUGAAGGUGACUGUGAGCUAUGAUACCAAGGCACUCUACCCAGGGCGACAGCUUGAGACUCUGUUUGACUCUGAAAGCCAAAGUUUAAGGUAGUGAAUUAAAAAGAGACCAGUGUCAGCCCAGCACUUUGGGAGGCCAACAUAUUCAAGACCAGCUUGAGCAGCAUAGUAAGAUCCCAUCUCCAGCAAGAGGGCUGUUGGCUGGGGCCUGCAGUACACCACAUAACUGAGGAGCUCCUCUACGGCCACCCGACUUGUUUUCCUGAGCUCCACUCUCCCAGCUGGCCCGAUGCUACAUGCUAGUAGUGUGGCACCAAUUCCUCUCUGGUUUUUGGUUUUUGGGUGCUGCUCCGAGCAGCAGCACCCUAUAACACCAGAAAGCUGGCGGGCACUAUGGGGGAGAAACAAAACAAGAAGAAAGUGGAGGAGGUGCUAGAAGACGAGGAAGAGGAGUGUGUAGUGGAAAAAGUUCUUGACCGUCGAGUGGUAAAGGGCAAAGUGGAGGAGUUCCUGAAGUGGAAGGGUUUCUCAAAUGAGGACAACACAUGGGAGCCAGAAGAGAAUCUGGAUUGCCCUGACCUCAGAGGGAGGUAAGCACAAAGCUGAUUGUGAUUCUGAAGAUAAGGGAGAGGAAAGCAAACCAAAGAAAAGUCAGAAAAGCCACGAGGCUUUGCCCGGGGUUUGGAGCCGCAGACUCCAGUGGAGAGCUCAUGUUCCUGAUGAAAUGGAAAAACUCUGAUGAGGCUGACCCGGUCCUUGCUAAGGAAGCCAAUGUCACGUGCCCACAGGUUGUCAUAUCCUUCUAUGAGGAAAGGCUGAUAUGGCAUUCCUACACCUCAGAGGAUGAUGACAAAAAAGAUGACAAGAAUUAACUUCCCUGAAGUAUCAGUCCCUGUCACAUCUGACUGUGGGUUUCAAGUGGGGUGGGAAGGAAUUUUACUUGUCUUGAUACCAUAGAGGUAGCUUGAGAAGAUGUCCUUUGAAGAACCAGUAUAGUUUCUGUGCCCUGCAGCAGCCCAAAGUGCUUUAAAGCACUUCAAGCUGUAUAGUUUUCACACCCAUCCCAGUGGAGGGGAAGGGGAAUAAGUGUUUCGAGGCAACCCAUUCUGCACUUUGCUGAGAAAAGCAAAAAGCCUUCUAUGAAGGACGAAACUUGCAGAAUUGGGUGUGUGGGAGAGCAGAAACUGUAGAACUUCAAAGAGCAUCUCCACAACCCACAGCCUUCUUCCCAGUAGUGUUAAUUCUGCAUUUUUACAGUGGAGCAUGUGUGUUGUUUUUGGCUAUUACUGGUGUAUUAUUUGGGGCGGGAGGGAUAGGGUGGAAAAGAAGGAAGAUAAGUAGGAUCAUUUUGCUUAGAAUUUGGGGCCUGAUUGGGGAAAUGGUGAAAUAAUGGAAAAAAACAGACAACUAAUGAUUUGCUUCUAUGUCCAUAAUAUUUUACCUUUUCAAAAAAAUGUCAUUGGCACCAUAAAUGAGGACUGUGAGAGACUGUUUAAGAGCUGUGGAUGCCUGAAACCUAUCAGCCAAGGUGUUCCUUGCUGAGCUUAUUGCUUCCCCACAAAGAACUAAGCCAGCUUGCAAGUUACCAAAGCUGCCAUUUUGGAGAUAGAAACUGAUUGAGAAAAGUCUUUUAUUGGAAAAUAUUCAUGAGGAGAUCAUUCUGUCUUCGAGGUGCUAAUUCCUGAAAUUAAACAAGAUGACCCUUUUCCAGUUAUGAAGUUAUAAAUACCAGCUUAUUCAUCCAAGCUACUGGCUGAGGUAUUGGGGGAAAGGGUGGUAUAGGAGAUGAGAGCGUAGGGAAGACAAGGGCUCAUGCUCUUAGUUUUUUUGAACUUUGAACUCUAAAACCCAUUGGUAGUAGGGUUCAGUCACUGACAGUACAAGUUUCAUUGAAACGGUUUAAGAGUUGAAUG